rnacentral:lncRNA from 1 species
UUGCAGUGAGCCAAGAUCACGCCAUUGCACUCCAGCCUGGGCAACAAGAACGAAACUCCGUCUCAAAAAAAAAAAAAAAAAAAAAAAAAAAUAGUGUUCAGCAAGGUUGAAGCAUAAAAGGUUAAUAGCCAGAAUCAUUUAUCAAUUGUAUUUCUAUACAUCUACAAGACACAAUCUGAAAAUGAAAUUAGAGAAACAAUUUCACUGGGCAACAAGAGCAAAACUUCGUCUCAAAAUAAUAAUAAUAAUAAUAAUAAUAAUAAUCUACAAUGUCAUUUCCCAUCCAAGCUUGACUUCUACCUUUACUUUCUGAUAUGGUUUUGCCAUGUCCCCACCCAAAUCUCAUCAUGAAUUAUAAUCCCCAUAAUCCUGAUGUGUCGAGGGAGGGGCCUAGGGGGAGGUGAUUGGAUCAUGGGGGCAGUUAUCCUCAUGCUGUUCUUGUGAUAUUCAGUAAGUCCUCAUGAGAUCUUAUAGGGUUUUGUUUUGUUUUUUGGGAUGGAGUCUUGCUCUGUUGUCCAGGCAGGAGUGCCAUGGCAUGAUCUUGGCUCACUGCAGUCUCUGCCUCUUGAGUUCCAUUGAUUCUCCUGCCUCAGCCUCCUGAGUAGCUGGGAUUACAGGCAUGCACCACCACACCCAGCUAAUUUUUGUAUUUUUAGUAGAGACAGGAUUUCACUACAUUAGCUAGGCUGGUCUCAAACUCCUGACCUCAGUUGAUCCACCUGCCUUGGCCUCCCAAAGUACUAGGGUUACAAGUGUGAGCCACCGUGCCCAGCUGAGAUCUGAUGGUUUUAUACAUGUUUGACAGUUGCUCCUUCACAUGUUCCCACUCUCUGUGCGGCCACCAUGUAAGUCGGACCUGCCCUUCUGCCAUGAUUGUAAGUUUCCUGAAGGACUUCCCCCUCUGCCAUGAUUGUUAAGUUUCCUGAGGCCUCCCCAGCCAUGUGAAACUGAGUCAAUUAAACCUCUUUCCUUUAAAAAUUACCCAACCUCAGGUGUUUCUUUAUAUCAGUGUGAAAACAGACUGCUAUACUUUCUGAUACUCAUGCUUAAGCAAUUGGGGAAUUCAGACUACCUGGGAUCAAACUAUGGCCCCACCCUUAGCAGUCAUGUGACCUUGGGGAGGUUACUUACCUUCUCCAUCUCAACAACUUCUGUAAAAUCUGUAACAUGAGAUUGUUUCUGAGGGUUAAAUGAGCAUAGCACAGUGGGGACACUGUCAGGCACACACUACUUGCCAGAUGUCGAGUAUUCAUCUUUAUUGAAAUAGGACUGUGGUAAGCCACUUUAUGGCUCUCGAUUUUGUAUGAGAAAAUCAUGCUUAGUGCCUUGUUAGUAAAAGAAAGAAAACCUGAAAGUCCCUGCCAUGGAAGGAAGAAAUAGCGGGGAGAAAAGGGAGUUGGUAAGUUUCAGCAUUUCAGAGCUUGGAGGUGCCAGUUAGGUUUCUAUUUUAUGGAGAAGGAGGUGGAGGCAGGAUGGGUCCUAAGGUGUCAUUCAAAACACACAGCCAUAACUCUUUAUUGAGAGUAGAGCUAGGGCCCCAGGGAUUGCUGUGGUCAAGUUGCGGACAAAAAUGACCACUCGUUGGAAGACAGGAGAGGAGUGUUUAGUUACAAAAGCAGUCAACAAUUCAGGUGUAUCUAUAUUCAGACAGCAAAUAAAAGUUGUUCAACUUGGUUGCUAAUGGGACCCACUCUACUGAGGCUUUGUAUAGAACUCAUAGAGGAAGCUGGCUUCAAGGAAUGAACUACCCUGUGCUUUUCUUAGGACUAAAAUCUCAGGAAGCUGGUGAUGAAUGAAAACCUUAGUCCCACUGGCACUGCACGAGGGGCCAGGAGAGCAGCAGCAUCAUAAGCCACAGGGUGGGGCAGCCAAGGC